rnacentral:rRNA from 1 species
AUGGGCCAGGAACCACAAAUUGCAAAUGAGGCUGGCAAAUAUGCAUUAUGGCUUAUCCCUGGUUUAUUCGCCCUCGGUGUUACUCAAUGCUUUUCAAAGUUUCUGCAAUGUCAAAGCCUAAUAUUUCCAAUGGUUCUUAGCUCCUUGAUUACAGUUGCGGUAUUUCUUCCUCUUUGCUGGUUCAUGGUUUACAAAGUUGGGAUGGGUAAUGCUGGAGCUGCUUUAUCCGUUAGCAUUUGUGAUUGGGUUGAAGUGACUGUUCUUGGCCUUUACAUUAAGUUCUCACCCUCUUGUGAGAAAACACGCGCUCCACCAUCGUGGGAAGCUUUUAGAGGGAUUGGCAGUUUCAUGCGUUUGGCUGUACCAUCGGCUCUUAUGAUUUGUCUGGAGUGGUGGUCUUACGAGCUGCUUGUUCUGCUUUCCGGGAUGUUAUCAAAUCCUGCACUAGAAACCUCUGUGCUUUCUAUAUGCGUAUCUACAAUGAUACUGUUGGCCAACCUUCCUUAUGGCAUUGGAAUAGCUACCAGUGUGCGCAUCUCAAAUGAAUUAGGCGCCGGCAACACACAAGGUCCCCGCUUGGUGGUGUGUGUUGCCUUGUCUAUUGUGGUCUGCUCAGCAUUCUUAGUGAGCACAACUCUUCUAUUACUGCGCCACUUUAUUGGAAUUGCGUUCAGCAACGAGGAAGAGGUCAGACGUUAUGUCACAAGAAUGGUACCCCUACUUUCCGUUUCAGCAAUUACAGACAGCCUCAUGGCAGUCCUUCAAGGUGUGUCUCGCGGCUGUGGAUGGCAGCAUCUAGGCGCUUAUGUUAACCUGGGUGCCUUCUAUCUUGUUGGUAUCCCCGUUGCACUCUACUUUGGUUUUGCAAUGCAACUAAGAGCAAAGGGGUUUUGGAUUGGCAUACUGGCUGGUGGAGCCACACAGGUCACUCUCCUGUCUGUUAUUACGGCUACCACAAACUGGAACAAGAUGGCUGACAAGGCCAAGGAGAGAGUAUUUGGAUAG